rnacentral:rRNA from 1 species
AUUGAACGCUGGCGGCAUGCUUUACACAUGCAAGUCGAACGGUAACAGGCCUUCGGGUGCUGACGAGUGGCGAACGGGUGAGUAAUGCAUCGGAACGUGCCCAAUCGUGGGGGAUAACGUAGCGAAAGUUACGCUAAUACCGCAUAAGCCCUGAGGGGGAAAGCAGGGGAUCGCAAGACCUUGCGCGAAUGGAGCGGCCGAUGUCAGAUUAGCUAGUUGGUCGGGGUAAAGGCCUACCAAGGCGACGAUCUGUAGCGGGUCUGAGAGGAUGAUCCGCCACACUGGGACUGAGACACGGCCCAGACUCCUACGGGAGGCAGCAGUGGGGAAUUUUGGACAAUGGGCGCAAGCCUGAUCCAGCCAUGCCGCGUGCGGGACGAAGGCCUCGGUUGU